GAAAUGAGGGGGUUUGUACUGGUCCAGUGGACCCGGUUCACAUAUCGUUUCUCCGGCCGGUGGAAAGAGUCGCCCAUCGUCGCCUCUCGGGCCGCGCUUCUCCUUUUCCUUUUGGUAGUCCUCCCUCGGUGCGUUUCUUUCGUUUAGCACCCCGUCGUCGUCUCUCUGCUCCCGCCAGCGAUUCACGGAACCCCCCGGAGAACUUAUUUUUAUUAUACAAAUCCCGAAAUAGAAAGUGAGGUUUCUUUUAUUCUUCGCCUUAUAACUAUCCCCUCCCUUUCGUUUUCUUGUCAAUUGAGGGUUUGGAUCCGGUUCUUGGUCUCCCUACUGCCGCAACGCGCGAUGGAGGAAGACGGGAACGGAGGGGAAGGGAGGGUGGAGGACGAGUCGGAGCUCAGCUGCCUCGAUCUGACGAGCUUCCAGCUUCACGAUCUCGGCGAGGUCGAUAUCCCGGAGAGCCUCGUAGAGUUGGAUCUUACGGCCAAUAGGCUCACCAAGUUGGACCCGCGGAUCGGUCUCCUCUCGCAUCUCAGGAAGCUUUCCUUGCGCCAAAACCUCUUUGAUGAUGAGGGCGUCGCGCCCAUCUCCCAGUGGAAUACCAUCUCUGGAUUACGUGAACUGGUACUCAGGGACAACAAGCUCAGAGAAAUACCUGAUGUUAGCAUUUUCAAGACUCUCCUUGUAUUUGAUGUCUCAUUCAAUGAGAUAUCUUCAUUGAAUGGUUUGUCCAAGAUCUCAAACACACUAGAAGAACUUUAUGUUUCAAAGAAUGAAGUGACCAAGAUGGAGGAACUCGAGCACUUGGAUGCACUCCGAAUUCUUGAACUUGGUUCAAACAGAUUGCGGGUAAUGGAGAACUUGCAGACAUUGAAAAAUUUGCAAGAGUUGUGGCUGGGAAGAAAUCGUAUCAGGAUGGUGAACUUGUGUGGUCUGAAGUGUAUCAGAAAAAUAAGUUUGCAGAGCAACCGAUUGACAUCCAUGACAGGGUUUCAAGAAUGUAUAGCACUAGAAGAACUGUAUCUGAGCCACAAUGGAAUUCAGAAAAUGGAAGGUUUAGCCACCUUAGUAAAUUUGCGUAUCUUGGAUGUUUCAUCAAACAAACUUACUGCUAUCAAUGAUAUUGAGAACUUGACAAGCUUAGAAGACUUAUGGCUUAAUGACAACCAAAUAGCAUCAUUGGAGGGCAUAGAAGUACCUGUGUCUGGUUCAAGGGAGAAGCUUACAACCAUAUAUCUGGAGCAUAAUCCCUGUGCUAGCUCUCCAAAUUAUUUUACUACUUUGAAGCAGCUUUUUCCAAAUCUUCAGCAAAUUGAUUCUGAUAUACUAAUGUGAGGGAUCAAAUAGCAUCUUGUUUUGCAGAACAUUGAAGGCAGUCAUCAAGAUGACUUUGAGACAUCUCUUUGGUACAAGUUGGUUUGGAUGGGGCAAACAAUGUCUUGGGAGGAAGCAACAGUGCAGUCUUAAGUUGGUGCUUGGUGGAAUCGGAGAGCUUCCAAACUCAAGUAAAAGCAGUAACCCGAUUUGCUUUUUAUUUUUUUUAUCCCCCUUUUUAAAAUUCUUGUUUCUAACAGGCCGAUUUAACUUCUGCACCUCUCGCGUAAACAAGGUUCUGGAUAGAAUUUAGGUUUAAUAUAAUUGCUCUUGUAUGUUGUACGUCAAUGGCUGCUCAAGCUUUAUGAUCACUGGAUGCUUGAGUUAUUUAAACCAAGUGCAUCAUUGGCAAAACUCCUCUUCUUCUUGUUUCAUAUUGGAUGACAUAAAAAAAAAAAAUAACAGUCCAUUAUACAAGACUCCUACAUUGUUGUAGAGUGGCUAUUUUAGUAACCUCCAGAUUGUAACAGAGCAGCCUUAUCAUUGGGGCGGGCCUCAGCUUGGUUCGCAUAUUUAGAUGAACUUGGCUUGCUUAGGAAUUGUGGUGGCCACGUAACAUGGCUGGAGACUUCACAUAAGCACUUGCUCUUUUAGAGAGAGCCAUCUAUAGGAGUACAAGUUCAUAAAAUAUCAAAAGAGAAGUGCCCUUCAUAAAAUUUCAAGUACAUCUAUUGAUUCAUCAAGGAAGAAAAAAAUCAAUUAAAACAAGAGUUUUUUCAUGAAUAACUUCUUAAAUAUCG